AGACAAACAUUUUUAUUAAUAAUUAGGUAUUUUUCACUGUGCAUUUAAACAAGGUUCAUUUGGAAAAGUAAAUAAAAAUGGACUCAACUAAAGUGUAUGAAGCAAGUAUUAAUACAGGUGUUAGAAGGAUAUGACAAAAUCAUGCAGGUGAUACAUCAAUGAGUAUAGAUUAGGAUAUACUCCUAGAAUAUAAGUCCAUAACUUGUUAAGCAAAACUCAUGGGGCCAGAUGAGUUUCAUAAUUCAGAAUAUCUCAUGCAGUAUUUGACACCCCCAGAGGUAACUGAGACAACAUUCUCAAGUCAAACACGUUAUUAUUUCUGCAGUAAAACUGAUGAAUAUUCAUCAUAAGUGGGAUAAAGUCUAUAAAUGGACUCAUCAAUUCAGUACAAGUUUUGCAGCCAAAUGAAUUACAAAAAAAUAUUGUUUCUCAGAUGCUUUUGCAUUUUGGAAUUGUAGAUAAGAGAGAUUUUGUUGUCGUUGUUUUGGUUUUUGAGACAAGGUCUGGCUCUAUCACCCAGGCUGGAGUACAGUGGUGCCAUCUUGGCUCACAGCAACCUCCGCCUCCUGGGCUCAAGCGAUCCUCCCACCUCAGCCUCCCAAGCAGCUGGGACUACAGGUGUGCCCCACCACACCCGGCUAAUUUUUGUAUUUUUUGUAGAACAGGUUUUCACCAUGUUGCCUAGGCUGAUCUCAAACUUGAGAUCUCAAGUGAUCCACCCACCUUGACUUCCCAAGGUGCUAGGAUUACAGGUGUGAGCCACUGCACCUGGCCAGAUAACAGAUUUUUAACCUGUAGUAAAAUAGGCCAAGAGGAAAAACAAGCAAAUUCAAGAACCUUAGGCCUGAGCCAUACUGUAUAGUAUGGCUAUACCCCCAAACAUUCUCCCUCUCAUCAUCUGAUUUGUGAGGUAGGUCCUCCAUAUUACAGAUGAGGAAUUUGAGGCUUACAGAGGGUAGGUGACUUAGCCAAGAUCACACAGCUGGUAACCAACAGGGCCAGAAUUAGGAUCCAAGAUUAGAAUCCAAGUCCUGUGCCUCCAGAUAUUUGAUCUUUUUAUACUGUAAUCCAUACAUCAUAUAAGGCCUGAAGAGGCAGAGGCUGAAUUCUUGAACAUGUUCCCUGAGUGCAGAUAUGCUUUCCCCCAGGAAGGUGUCUUACCUGACUCUGUCAUUUCCACCGAGGGGGGCUCUGGAGGGGAAGGAUGGGAGUGGAAGAUAUAACCUUGGCCUUUUAAUGUUGAGCUACGGAUGUAUCCAAGGUGCUUGGAUCAAUCUCUUCAGACAGUGCAUGAAACCCAACUGAAAUGCUUGUGACAGUCCAGUGGUAUUUCAGGGAACCAUUGCCUGUUUCUUCCAGAAAUUCUAAUAAGAAUGGACAUUUAUUGAGCACCUGCUAUAUGCCAGACAUUCCUUCCUCUAACAGUUUAGGGGUGUUCUUACCAUUUCCCUCCCCCAGAUAGAGAAAUGGGAGUUCAGAGACACAGCCAAGAUUACAUUGCUGGUAAGUGACAAGUAAGAGUUAGGCCAGGUUUGAUUCUGUUCAAGGACCACACUCUUACCCACUACCCUCAAAGAGCAGCGGCAGAGCCCUUGAUUUCUGAUCCACCCAUGGGAGGGACGCCUUUUCCCCUGUCACCAGGGUACAGCCAGUUUCUGCAUUUUGCAUGCUUGUGUUCCAGAAAUUCAAGUGCAAGUUGAUCCAACCUCCUAAGUUUGAUGGCAUGGACCUUAGCAUUAGGGAAGUAUGCAGGAGCUGGCUGUAUUCAGGAAGCCACCAUAGAUGCAUAUGGCUGGAAUAUUAAAUGAGGGCGGGGUUUGGGGAAGAACUGGGGGCAAUUGUUAAAUCAGAAAGAGCCUUGUUGUUCUUGCUUAGGAGACAUCAAUUUUGUUCUCUAGGCAAUGGAGAAUCACCAGAUAAUUUUGCAUGGGGCAAUGACAUGGUUAUAUUUCCAUGUGAUGUCUUAUUUGGCUUGGAAAUCAGGUGCUGCUUCCCAGAGGAGGUAUCAGUUAACCUAGGACUGAAAGGAUGGAUUGGAUGUCACCCAGGGACGAAGCGACUGUGACAAGAUACAAGCACAGGGAUCCCAUGAGCUUGGCAGGAGUGUGUGAUCUCACUGCAUAGGUACAGACACAGCACUAAUGGAGGCUGAGCACAGAUGGCAGAACUGGAGACAAGCUCCCGGGAACCCAGGUCCCUGGGAGGUGGCCCUGGCCUGUGGGCAGGCUAUUGCAAAAAUCUAAUGACAAUAUGUUCACGAGAAGGAUUUGAAGACUGUAAAAGUCUGUGAAGGAAACAUGUGGCCGUGUUGUGCUUGAAGAUCAAACUCUGAGGAAUGAAGGACAAAAACUUGGCAGAGCCUGAUGCUGUGGGAGUUUUGAGUGAUUUCUCUGCAGCUGGGGGAAGAAAGCUCCCAUGUUGUGAGGCAUAAAAAGGCCCACAUGUCAAAGAACUACAGCCUGCCAGCGACCACGUGACUGAGCUUGGAGGUGGAUCAUCCCUCAGGGAAGCCUUGAGAUGACAGCAGGCUGGGAGGGAUGCUCAGCCAGGACCAUGCAGCCAUGCUGCUCCGGCAUUCCUGAACCACAGAUGCUGUGAGAUGACAUUUUUUUCCCUCUACAUGUGUCAGCACUUCCCAGAUGUGAUGAUGGUAUUUGAAAGAGCAUGAUCUGGAAAUCCUGAGCCGUGCUGCCACAAGAAAAUGGAUGCACAGAGGACAAGGCCAGGCAGCGCAGGUCUUCAUUACACUGAGACUUUGCCUGAGUCCCAUGGUGCCCCAGUGCCCUGGCCUGGGCACAUCAGCACUGCCUUCUGUCCAGGCCCCAUGAGUCUCAGAUGGUGGACCCUGGUGACGGAAGGCUGGGUAGAUGCCAUGGACCUUUCCAUAGGUCAUAGCCACAGCUGAGCACUUGGUGUCUUACUACUCAGUGGAGAGGAGAAGUGUGCUGAAGGGUGGUAAGAGAGUGUGUCCAGGGGCCCAGACCAGAGUGGGCCAUGCCUCAUCUAGAGAGCAAGCAUCUUCCAGAAAGGAGAGCCCUUGGGUCCUUUUACAGAAGCAAUCAGAAAAACAUCGGGAAUCUCCCAGAAGACUGAAUGUAAGAGGACGAAGGGUCCGGGCACAGUGGCUCAUUCCUGUAAUCCCAGAACUUUGGGAGACUGAGGUGAGUGGAUCACUUGAGGUCAGGAGUUCGAGACCAGCCUGAACAACAUGGUGAAACCCCAUCUCUACUAAAAAUACAAUAUUAGCUGGGCAUAGUGGCGCAUGCCUGUAAUCCCAGCUACUCAGGAGGCUGAGGCAGGAGAAUCGCUUGAACCCAGGAGGAGGAGGUUGCAGUGAGCCGAGAUUGCAUCACCGCAUUCCAGCCUGGGCAACAAAGCAAGACUUCAUCACACACACACACACACACACACACACACACACACACACACAAACGAAACAACAACAACAACAAAACCAAAAAAAAAGAAAAAGAAAAGUCAGGUCUGGGGAGCUGAAGUGGCUGACAGAGGAGGAGGAGAAUUAUCUGCAGUGCUUCCCAAAUUCAGGACACUCACCCAGUGCAUCUCAAAGCCUGAGUCCUCAUAUCUCUUCUGGGGAAAGGAGAGAAAGAAUUGCUGGUGGAUUCUGCUGUGUUUUGCCUUGAGGUCAUUAUGGGCAAAAUUUCACACCUAUAAGGCCCAUUGCUGAGGAGGGAGUGGACCUCUGUGAUUCCUCUUGAGCAAAGGAAUAAACAUCCUAAGUUUGUGAGUAAAGCGUCCAUCACAUUCUCUGGAGCCAUCACUGCUGUUUGGAGAGGUGGGAGUUGAGAGAGGCCAUUACUGGGCAGAACCUGAGUUUUCACUUGAAGAUUCGUCCCUUAUGAAUCCAGCCCCUAGAAAACAGAGCAGCCAGCAGGCCUGUGACAUUUCAGUUUGGCUAUAAAAACUACAGGUUAAUAAUAAAACUCUUUUCUGGUUUUAAAAUUAUAUUCACGUGCAUCAGCUCACAUUUCUGAAAAAGCACUUAGGACAGCACCUGAGGCAACUUAAGCAUCAUAUAAAUGUUGGUUUUGUGGUCAUUCUUGUUUUAUAAUUAUUAUUAUUUGUAUCCUCACCCUGGUAGGCAGACAAGGCCAUAGUCAAUAUUAUAGUCGUUUUAUGGAUAAUAAAAAAUGGGAGAGGAAUUAAGUAACCUAUUUAAAUUCAUAUAAUAAACAAAUGGCAGAGCCAGGACUUGAAGCCAGGUUUUUAGGCUGCACAUCUCAGCUUUAACAAAUGACAGAACACCUGCUCUCACAUGUGGCUUUAUUUGUCACCUAACCACCCUCUUAGGCAGGUAGGCACUGGGGGCAGUGCUCAUGAGCUAGGCUUUUCAGCAAGAACCAGACAUGGAUAUGUAUUGGUUCUGUCACUUACCAGCCCUGUGACCUGGAGCUGGUUUUUUAACCUCUCUGGGCCCCACAAUUUUCACUGGUAGAUGGAGUAACAGUAGUGCUGACAUCCAGGGCUGUGGAUGAGGAUUGGGGAAGAUAUUUUGAUAUGAGUCUAGUGCUCAGCACACAAUGGCAGUGAUUAUAAUCACAAUAUGGUCAUUUUUCAGAUGAGAAAACUAGCUCAGAGAACAAAUGUGAUUUUCUAAAGAUUUGGGUUUCCUUGCUCCUAAUUCCUAGUUCCUGCCACCACUGAAAUCAGGACCGUAGAUGUUGCUCUCAGCAUGACCAUUAGUUUAGACAGCUGUAGGUAAUCAGAGCCAAGCAAUGCCCUCCCAAAUACAACAAUCACACACAGAAAAACAUGGAACCCUUCUGCAGAUGCCUUCCUUCACUAGCCCUAACCUCACUCUAGUGUCAUCUUUAUUUGGUUCAAGCCCUACCCAGUAUUUCUGUCUUCACCUGGAUUUAAAUGCUCCUGUGAUCACACAUAAGCUUUCAUGCAUCUAUGUCUCGUUUCUAUAAUCAUUACAGUGUAAGUGAACAUAUAAUAGCUGCUUCUUCAGACCACACUUCCUCUCGGCAGUGCCUACCACAAUCAUGGUAGGUAUUGACUCUAUGUCUAGUGGCCCCACCUUUCCUCUGUAGCCCAAGCCACAUAUCUUUGUUGCUUCCUUUUACUUCUUUGCUAGUCACAGUUUGUAGUUGCAGACAACAGAGUCCAUUUCCAUUUCUGAAAGAAAGAUUUUUCCUUCUUUUUUCUUCUUCUCUCUCUUUUCUUCUCACUCACAGAAUUAUUCGAAGGGUAGACAUCUGAGCUCUAGACUAAGCUCCCAGGUCCACAUGUAGAUUUGUCCCAUUCACGUCGAUGCAGUUGUCCCUGAGAUGAGAAACCACACAGCUUUUGCCGUCCCCUGUACCAGCAAAAUGGAUGCCCCCUGUCCAGCCUGUGUCCCUGCAUAGGUUACUUCUGGAUGGAAUUCUCAUACUGGUGCAUCUGGCUAGUUGAAUCAGGCACAUUUCUGCCCCCAAGCUGUGAGGGAGGCUGGGAAAUGUAGGUUUUGUUUCUGCUCUGGGAAGGCAAGGGUAACACUGAUGGAAACUAUCCACGAGUUAAUGGAGCAUUUAAAGUAUUUGGGGGACACAGAGCAAAGACAAGGUGUAUAAUCCAUCUUCAGCAUCCACAUGUAAUUGGUAAGCAAAUUUCAGCAGUUCUAAAUAUGAACACUUCUGGGAUUCAUCUACUUCUCUCUACCCCACUGCAGUCCUUUGGCUCAGUGCUUCUCACAUGGACAAUGGCAACAGCUUGUAAGUAGUCUCUCUGGCUCAGUCCCCUUUCUGCCCUAUCUCACGUAUGUUUUGUAGCCAGUGUUACUCCUUUGCUUAAAAUCCUCAAAGCUCCUGGUUGCUUUCAGAAGUGAGUUUAAACUUAUAAUUAUGGCUUUUAAAAUCCUUUGGAAUCUCAGGCCGGGGGUGGUGGCUCACGUCUGUAAUCCCAGCACUUUGGGAGGCUGAAGCGGGUGGAUCACC
rnacentral:lncRNA from 10 species